rnacentral:lncRNA from 1 species
CAGCACUCUUAUGUUUGGAUGUGUUUAGCUCCAGCAGCAGCCUUGAAGAUUCCUGCAUCUGCUGUGAAGCCUCCGCCCUCGGCUCCUCAAUCAGCUUCUCUCCCAGCUGCUGCUUCAGCUCUUAAACCAGCUCCUCCCUCAACAUCUCCCAGCAUAGAGCGCAGCAGCCGGCCACAGGUGGAGAAACCCCGCCGCACCAGUGUGGACAAGGGGAUGAAGCAGAGUCCAGACAGGGUGGGAAAGUCUCCUCCUCCUCCUCCUCCCCCACGAAGGUUCCAUGCUGUCAGUUCAGGUCUAACCACUGGAAGUUCAGGAGAAGUGAUUUUCACCACCAAGAAAGAGCCGGUUGGAGCCCAGGAUGAGGGUGAGAAAGAGAAAAAGCUGCCUGUGGUUCCUCAGCCCAAACCCCCAAGACAGCCACCGGAGCUCAAACCCAAACCUCAGAUGUGUGCUCCUGCCCCUCUGGCUGGUUCCAGCUCCACCUUUACUACAGCCUCA